AGUCGUAACAAGGUUUCCGUAGGUGAACCUGCGGAAGGAUCAUUGUCGAAACCUGCACAGCAGAACGACCCGCGAACCUGUUUUAUCACAUGGGGGGCAACCCCCACACGUCGUCGGUGGCAGGGCGUCCUUGGGCGUCCCUGCUCCGUCGGCGCAAUAACGAACCCCGGCGCGGACUGCGCCAAGGAAAAUAUAACAAGAGAGCGAUUCUGCCCGUCGCCCCGGUCACGGUGCGCGUGCGGGAAGACUCGACUCCUUUCAGUAUACAAAACGACUCUCGGCAACGGAUAUCUCGGCUCUCGCAUCGAUGAAGAACGUAGCGAAAUGCGAUACUUGGUGUGAAUUGCAGAAUCCCGUGAACCAUCGAGUCUUUGAACGCAAGUUGCGCCCCAAGCCUUUAGGCCGAGGGCACGUCUGCCUGGGUGUCACGCAUCAUUGCCCCCAAUCCCUCCGUCCGUACACGGGCCGAUGGGAAUUGUAGUGGGCGGAUAUUGGCCUCCCGUGCGCUCUGCUCGCGGUUGGCCGAAAUGAGAGUCCUCGGCAACGGAUGUCGCGAUGUUCGGUGGUGCAAAGUGCCUCGAGUCCCCGUCGUGCGUUCGUUUGCUGGCGAAAGGCUCCUCGACCCUGAAGCGUUGUCCUUACAGCGCACGCACCGCACCCCA
rnacentral:rRNA from 1 species